AAUAUUUUAAUAGACGUCAUCAACAGCUUAUGGAACUGGACCCGAAUCCAGUAUUUAGUCAGGAUGCACAGCCCUUGGAUUGGUUGUUAGAGGAUUUUAACAAUGAAUAUGGUGCUAUGACCCAAAGUGGAGAUAGCGGAUAUUUAUCUCGCCAGGAGUCGCUCCCGAUAAAUAAUUGGCAUCGUGAUUUUUCGAGUCCAAUUCAUGAACCAUCACCCCCGCAAAAUACACCGCCACCACCGAAGUACAAUGCAAUAUCAUCUCCGGAUUUAUUGCCAGAAUUUGAGGUUUCGAACGAUUCACCGAAUAUGUUAAUUCCUCAUGCCCCUAUAAGGUUACAUCAUCCAUCACCGACUUUCGGAGAAAUACAGUUUACACCGCUUCAGGAGCAUGAGAAUUUAAUAUUUGGCGAGUUAAACACGACGCAGAAUUCAGUCGAAAUGGAUUGGAGUGACGAUGGAUAUAACGAGCAAUUCUAUAGACUUAUGGAGAAUUAUGAGGGGUGGGGUAGUGAUUUUGAUGAAAUUAAUGAGUUGUUUUUAAAAAAACAUAAUAAAUAAUAUUUUUAUUAACAUACAUACUGGAAUUAUUAUUUCGUUUAUACACAGGAUAUUUUAUGUGAUAACAUAUUUCGGUAAACCAUUUGCGGCAAUGGUAUUUGAGGUUAGGCGAAGGAACUCAGAAUGCCGACGUAUUUUAAAUAAUUGUUUAAUUUUAUUUGGUUACAGUAAAAUGUAUAAAGGUUGCAUUACUAUGACAAGUAUAAGUAAGUAUAGUUAAAAUAAAUGACACAAAAGAAAUUCUUUAUUAUAAUCGUGGACAAUAGUGAGCGCGGAGCGGCGUGAACGUAACGGUAGACGGGCACCGUGAGAGACUGAGACAGUGAGUGUGGCGACGACCGCUGGUUCGACUGCUGCUACGACCGCUGGGGGACAUAUGACAGUAUGUGGGACAACCGUCGCCACACAUUAAAUGAUAACACAAUAUAUUUUAUUACAAGUGCGGCAAUCUAAGAACUAUUCCGGCGGCAAUGAUGUUUGAGGUUAGGAAAAGAACUUAGAAUGUCGACGAAUUUUAAAUAAUUGUUUAAAUUUAUUGGUAAAAGUAACACGUAUAAAUGUUGUGUUGCUGUAGCAAGUAUAAGUAAGUAUAAGUAAGUAUAAGCAAGUAUAGCUAGAAUAAAUGAUACAAUGAAAAUUCUAUAUUUCAAUCGCGGACAAUAGCGAGCGCGGAGCGGCGUGAAAAAAAGUAACGGAGGACGGGCACCGUGAGACUGAGACUGGGUGCGCGGUGACAUUCCGACGCUGCUACGACCGCUGGGGAACAGACAACAGUAUUGUGGGACAACCGUCGCCACAAUCUUAUGAAAAUACCGAGAAAAAUCAAAAUGUACAGAAAAGUACAGUGCAUCCAACAAAAGAAAAAAUUUUUUUUUCUAAUUUUGACUUACGAGGUUUUGCUGUGUAGCCGCUGAUAUCAUACAAUGAACGUGGUGAACGCCCAACGGUUUACCUAUUGUGGUAUUGACGGCGUUGCCACACUGUCGUGGCCCGAAAUGUGGUUCGGGGCGCCGUCUUUACUACUUGUUACCAAAACCAGAAGGUUUACCUAGAUACAACUAGGAUUAAAUAAAAUAACAACUUUUGAGGUAAAUUACGUUCGUAUAUAUUUUCGACUAAGUAAAACAAAUUAAGUGCAAAAUACUGUUGCGCGCAAAAUAGGGACAGGUCGUCGGACGUUGGGCUGCUCGAGUCGAGAGCGAAAAAGCGAGUGUCGAGAGUUGCGCGCGUCGGCGGCUUCGAGCGCGUAACGGCGAAGUCGCCGCGCGAGGCGGGAGACAAAGUCGAGCGGCGAGUAGUCCAAAGACGGUACAACAUUAUAAAAUAUAAUUCACAGAGAUAAUAAAUAAAACGAAUACAAUAUAAAACACAUGACGAAUAUAAUAUAAAAAUGGUAAUAAAAAGGCGCGUUAGUGUAAGUGGUGAUAACACGUCGGAAUCACCACACUAUUAUAAUAAAAUUAAUAUAUUGGCCAUUGGGUGCUCGAGCACCCGAGCACCCAUGUACUUGGCGCCUAUGGCGUCGCAUAUUAUAAUUGGAGUUGGUAGCAUAUGGACAUUAUUCACAUUUGAAUUGUGUUUCUAUCACUCUAUGUGCAUUUUUUUGAUGUCGAAUUAAGUUAGAUUGAAAUUUUGUAGUGAAUUUACAAUGAGAACACGACUUCUCCAUAAUAAUUACAAUAAAAUAUUUAAAUAACACGUACAACUGUAUUAAGGGGACACCAAUGCAGAAGUUAAUUUAAAAGAUGAAAUAUGAUUUGGUAUAAUAUUUUAAAGAACAUUUGGAAUUUAAAAAAAAAACAAGCUAGUUAUAUAGUGAUAACACGUAGUGAUAAUACGAUCAUCCGAGCUGCCGUGAUUGCCUCGUUUGAUAUGUGAACAUGAAAUUUUUAGAUAUUGUUAACCUAAGGAUUCUAAAUAUUAAGUUUUUAAAUCAGUAUAAGAAAUAAAUAUUGCAAUGUACCCGUUUUGCCCCGUGGUUCCGUUCUGCCCCACUUUCCCACUAAACUUUUCCCAAUAAUCGUUUUCUUAUCUGGGUAUUUAUAAACUAUGUACCGGCGCACGACUGCGAUAGAAAACCUGUUUUGACCUAUGUUGCGGUGCUGUCGUUAUCGGACGCGGGAUGAUGGUAAAUUAAUAUCUAGUAACGAACGCUGCCGCUGUUUAUGGGCACAGCACAUGACGAGCGUAAUUAAUUGACGAGCGUAUUUUUUUUAACCGAAAAACAUGGUUUCGUAAUUCAAGUAAUACGGCGUUGUGAUACGUUUUACAGUAUAAAUAUCUAUUACGAAAAUUGUAAAGGAGAAUUUUUUCUAGAAUCGUAAGAAGCCCGAUUUUUGAUAUAUUGUUCCAAUCUUCCAAUAUCGUAUAGUAAAUUAUCACGGUUUUUUUUACUUUUUAUCGAUUAAUUAUUCCACUAAUUAAUAAAAAUAUCAAAAAUCGGGCUUCUUACGAUUGUUAAGAAAGUUCUCCUCUACAAUUUUUAUAAUAGGUAUUUUUACUGUAAACCGCUUCAAUAAGCCGUAUUACUUGAAUUACGAAACCAUGUUUUUAUGCCAUAUUUCGUCUACUAGUGCGCCCUCUUAACUGUUCGUCGUUUUAUUGUCAGCCUGUAUUUUUUGGCUAUACUUCACUUGAUAAUGCAAAGUGCACUUCCGGUGUCUACUAAAACUGCUGCCUUGAACCUCUUCGGAUUCCUCAUUGAUUUGUACACGUUUUACAUAUAGUCUUCUCUUUACUGGUUAGUAUCGAUCAAAAAAACAUCCGACGUGACUGUUUGACAAUAUUUGGCAGUAUGUCCUUCUGCUUCACAUUUCGAACAUUGUAGUGGUCUCUUAGAACGAGUACAAUCGCAUGCUAUAUGUCCUAUCAAUUGAUAAUUGUAGCACUUAGGUCCCGUAACCGUACUCUUACUCGUAUUUUGUUCUAUUUGAAAUUUGUGUAUGAUGGUUGCCCCUGUGUGGUAGGUUUCGACCAUUGAUCUACACCUUUAUCAAAUGUUUUAGUGGCGUUCUUCUUAUCAUAUCUCGACACGGCACGAUAACGUUCACUUCUAUUAGAGUGCACUUCAGUAUAUAUACGUAUAUCCGCCAAUAGUUCCACUUCACUUGUGUGACUGUUACUUAAUAUAGUGCAUAGGCGGAAAUCCAUUAGAAUUUCUGGGGGGGCUAAACUAAAAUAAAAACUAUAUUCAAAUAAUUUGAUAGAUAUCGAAAAACAUAAAAACACAUUGUGUCGCAUAUUUUGUUGAAUUGAAUCUGAAAGUAUUUUAACAGCCUAUAAGUAUACAUAAAUACAACAAAAAAAGAUCAUUAAAAUAAUAAAGUUUAUUAAAAUUAUUUUAACACAAUUAUUCUAUUUUUUCUUGCAAAUUUGUUGAUGAUGGGGUCAUUGUCAAUAUGUUUUACAAUAUCCUUUUCAAUAUUAAAUAUUGGAAUUGUGUUGAAACGAUUUUGAAGCAUAGGUGUUCUUAACCAUGUUUUUAAGCGUCUCAUUGCCGAAAAAGAACGCUCACAUGUUGAUGAACUAAUUGGAAGAGUGAUCGCCACUUGCAACAAUUUGUACACAUUUGGGUAGACUUGCUUUGAGACAUAU
rnacentral:misc_RNA from 1 species